rnacentral:rRNA from 1 species
CAAUAGCGUAUAUUAAAGUCGUUGCAGUUAAAAAGCUCGUAGUUGGAUUUGUGGCGUACGGUGUGUUCCGGGCACUUGUUGUCUGAGUAACCUGCUGUUGCCAUCCUUGGGUGGAACCUGUGUGGCAUUAGGUUGUCGUGCAGGGGAUGCCCAUCAUUUACUGUGAAAAAAUUAGAGUGUUCAAAGCAGGCUUAUGCCGUUGAAUAUAUUAGCAUGGAAUAAUGAGAUAGGACUUUUUUGCUAUUUUGUUGGUUUGCGCAAAGAGGUAAUGAUUAAUAGGGACAGUUGGGGGUAUUCGUAUUCCAUUGUCAGAGGUGAAAUUCUUGGAUUUUUGGAAGACGAACUGCUGCGAAAGCAUUUACCAAGGAUGUUUUCAUUAA